UACGUAGGGGGCAAGCGUUGUCCGGAAUCAUUGGGCGUAAAGCGCGUGUAGGCGGUUUCGUAAGUCUGCUGUGAAAGUCGGAGGCUCAACCUUCGAAAGCCGGUGGAUACUGUGAGACUUGAGUACGGAAGAGGAGAGUGGAAUUCCUGGUGUAGCGGUGAAAUGCGCAGAUAUCAGGAGGAACACCAACGGCGAAGGCAGCUCUCUGGGACGUUACUGACGCUGAGACGCGAAAGCGUGGGGAGCGAACAGG
rnacentral:rRNA from 1 species